rnacentral:rRNA from 1 species
GUGUCAGCAGCCGCGGUAAUACGUAGGCAGCAAGCGUUGUUCGGAGUUACUGGGCGUAAAGAGUGCGUAGGCGGUUCUCUAAGUUCGGUGUGAAAUCUCCCGGCUCAACUGGGAGGGUGCGCCGAAGACUGGAGGGCUGGAGUGUGGGAGAGGUAAGCGGAAUUCCUGGUGUAGCGGUGAAAUGCGUAGAUAUCAGGAGGAACACCUGCGGUGUAGACGGCUUACUGGACCAUAACUGACGCUGAGGCACGAAAGCGUGGGUAGCAAACAGGAUUAGAUACCCGCGUAGUCC